AUUGAACGCUGGCGGCAGGCCUAACACAUGCAAGUCGAGCGGAUGAAGGGAGCUUUCUCCUGGAUUCAGCGGCGGACGGGUGAGUAAUGCCUAGGAAUCUGCCUGGUAUUGGUGUAUAACGUCCGGAAACGGGCGCUAAUACCGCAUACGUCCUGAGGGAGAAAGUUGGGGAUCUUCGGACCUCCCGCUAUCAGAUGAUCCUAGGUCGGAUUAGCUAGUUGGUGGGGUAAAGGCCUACCAAGGCGACGAUCCGUAACUGGCCUGAGAGGAUGAUCAGUCACACUGGAACUGAGACACGGUCCAGACUCCUACGGGAGGCAGCAGUGGGGAAUAUUGGACAAUGGGCGAAAGCCUGAUCCAGCCAUGCCGCGUGUGUGAAGAAGGUCUUCGGAUUGUAAAGCACUUUAAGUUGGGAGGAAGGGCAGUAAGUUAAUACCUUGCUGUUUUGACGUUACCAACAGAAUAAGCACCGGCUAACUUCGUG
rnacentral:rRNA from 1 species